UACGUAGGGGCCUAGCGUUGUCCGGAAUUAUUGGGCGUAAAGAGCUCGUAGGCGGUUCGGCAAGUCGGAUGUGAAAUCUCCACGCUUAACGUGGAGGGGCCAUUCGAAACUGCUGUGACUCGAGUCCGGUAGGGGAGUGUGGAAUUCCCGGUGUAGCGGUGAAAUGCGCAGAUAUCGGGAGGAACACCAGUGGCGAAGGCGGUUCUCUGGGCAUUACCUGACGCUGAGGAGCGAAAGUGUGGGGAGCGGAACAGG
rnacentral:rRNA from 1 species